rfam:Schistosoma rodhaini strain Burundi genome assembly, scaffold: SROB_scaffold0000274
AUCUAGCUGACGAGUCCCAAAUAGGACGUGACGCGCGUCCUGGAU